UACAGAGGGUGCAAGCGUUAAUCGGAAUUACUGGGCGUAAAGCGUGCGUAGUCGGUUAUCUAAGUCGGGUGUGAAAUCCCCGGGCUCAACCUGGGAAUUGCAUUCGAUACUGGAUAGCUAGAGUUCGGCAGAGGGAAGCGGAAUUUCCGGUGUAGCGGUGAAAUGCGUAGAUAUCGGAAGGAACAUCAGUGGCGAAAGCGGCUUCCUGGACCAGAACUGACGAUCAGGCUCGAAAGCGUGGGGAGCAAACAGG
rnacentral:rRNA from 1 species